rnacentral:tRNA from 1 species
GGCUCGGUAGCUUAGUUGGUAAAGCGCUCGUCUAGCAUUCAAGAGUUCUGGGUCAAAUCCCUACCGAGCAC